GCACAAGCAGUGGAGUAUGUGGUUUAAUUCGGCGCAACGCGAAGAACCUUACCUGGGCUAGAAUGCCUCUGACAACCCUAGAGAUAGGGCCUUCCGGGUAAAACCAGACAGAGUGCAAGGUGCUGCAUGGCUGUCAUCAGCUCGUGUCGUGAGAUGUUGGGUUAAGUCCCGCAACGAGCGCAACCUUUAUCAAUAGUUGCCAGCAUUUAGUUGGGCACUCUAUUGAGACUGCCGUUGACAAAACGGAGGAAG
rnacentral:rRNA from 1 species